rnacentral:sRNA from 1 species
GUUACAGGCACGCAGCACCGCAGCACUGCACCGGCUAUUGUUCUUUUAUUUUUUUCCCUCUUUGUCCCUGAAAGAGUCAAGCCACUAAUUGUCAGUAAUCAAAUCAGACCACGAUUUCCCAGGCAAACUCCUGGCAGUUCUACAUUUAGGAAUGACUAGCUAGAGACAUCCUGAAGAAUGAGUUAUUCGGGGAGGCGCCAGCCACCUCCUCUAACUUCACCUCUAUCUGCCCUCUGUGCUCAAAGAUUUGGAAAGAGACAGCUUAACAGAAAAGGAAUGUGUGAAGGAGAAAUUGAAUCUCUUGCACGAAUUUCUGCAAACAGAAAUAAAGAAUCAGUUAUGUGACUUGGAAACCAAAUUACGUAAAGAAGAAUUAUCCGAGGAGGGCUACCUGGCUAAAGUCAAAUCCCUUUUAAAUAAAGAUUUGUCCUUGGAGAACGGUGCUCAUGCUUACAACCGGGAAGUGAAUGGACGUCUAGAAAACGGGAA